rnacentral:rRNA from 1 species
GAUGAACGCUGGCGGCGUGCCUAAUACAUGCAAGUCGAGCGAACGGACGAGAAGCUUGCUUCUCUGAUGUUAGCGGCGGACAGGUGAGUAACACGUGGAUAACCUACCUAUAAGACUGGGAUAACUUCGGGAAACCGGAGCUAAUACCGGAUAAUAUUUUGAACCGCAUGGUUCAAAAGUGAAAGACGGUCUUGCUGUCACUUAUAGAUGGAUCCGCGCUGCAUUAGCUAGUUGGUAAGGUAACGGCUUACCAAGGCAACGAUGCAUAGCCGACCUGAGAGGGUGAUCGGCCACACUGGAACUGAGACACGGUCCAGACUCCUACGGGAGGCAGCAGUAGGGAAUCUUCCGCAAUGGGCGAAAGCCUGACGGAGCAACGCCGCGUGAGUGAUGAAGGUCUUCGGAUCGUAAAACUCUGUUAUUAGGGAAGAACAUAUGUGUAAGUAACUGUGCACAUCUUGACGGUACCUAAUCAGAAAGCCACGGCUAACUACGUGCCAGCAGCCGCGGUAAUACGUAGGUGGCAAGCGUUAUCCGGAAUUAUUGGGCGUAAAGCGCGCGUAGGCGGUUUUUUAAGUCUGAUGUGAAAGCCCACGGCUCAACCGUGGAGGGUCAUUGGAAACUGGAAAACUUGAGUGCAGAAGAGGAAAGUGGAAUUCCAUGUGUAGCGGUGAAAUGCGCAGAGAUAUGGAGGAACACCAGUGGCGAAGGCGACUUUCUGGUCUGUAACUGACGCUGAUGUGCGAAAGCGUGGGGAUCAAACAGGAUUAGAUACCCUGGUAGUCCACGCCGUAAACGAUGAGUGCUAAGUGUUAGGGGGUUUCCGCCCCUUAGUGCUGCAGCUAACGCAUUAAGCACUCCGCCUGGGGAGUACGACCGCAAGGUUGAAACUCAAAGGAAUUGACGGGGACCCGCACAAGCGGUGGAGCAUGUGGUUUAAUUCGAAGCAACGCGAAGAACCUUACCAAAUCUUGACAUCCUUUGACAACUCUAGAGAUAGAGCCUUCCCCUUCGGGGGACAAAGUGACAGGUGGUGCAUGGUUGUCGUCAGCUCGUGUCGUGAGAUGUUGGGUUAAGUCCCGCAACGAGCGCAACCCUUAAGCUUAGUUGCCAUCAUUAAGUUGGGCACUCUAAGUUGACUGCCGGUGACAAACCGGAGGAAGGUGGGGAUGACGUCAAAUCAUCAUGCCCCUUAUGAUUUGGGCUACACACGUGCUACAAUGGACAAUACGAAGGGCAGCGAAACCGCGAGGUCAAGCAAAUCCCAUAAAGUUGUUCUCAGUUCGGAUUGUAGUCUGCAACUCGACUACAUGAAGCUGGAAUCGCUAGUAAUCGUAGAUCAGCAUGCUACGGUGAAUACGUUCCCGGGUCU